AUAACCAAACUUCUUUCCCGGAUUGUUCGCACGACGCGUGUUUCGAAAUCAAAUCGUGGAAAGGAAAGGUGACUUUUAGUUCCUUUCUCGGUGCAAUUCUUGGCGAAUUCUUAAGAAUCCGCUCACAAUUUUUCUACCCCUCGUCGUGGAAAGGUUUCCUCCGACGACUCGAGUGUCACCGGGCCCUCGGUGCACUUCAAGUAUUGGAUAUUCUUAUCGAAGAUUUAUUUCCUAGCGUUGAUAAACGAGCGAGCAGAAAGUAUAUAUAUAUAUAUAUAUAUAAAAUCGAAAUAUUUUGUUAAAAGUCUUCAUUGAUUGUUUGUAUAAUUUUCUUUUGGUAAUUAAUUAUUAAAGGGGAGAAAAAUUAAUUAGAAAAAAAAACAGAAAUUUACAUUUACACAAAAGAUAAAUAUUAAUAUCAAUCUCCUGCUGUGUGUACAAUAUUGCAAAAAGAUAUUGCUUGAUACAGUCAAAAUUUUAUUUUCUCGACGAAUUUCACUCGGAGAUAAUAUUCAAACCGGCCACGAUAAAGAAAAUAUUUAUUUCGAUUAAUUGUAAUACUCUCCUAGUCCGUUUACAAACGAGCACUCAGAGAAUUAAAUAAUCGUUUAAUUAAAUGAUCACGGAAUAUAAA